CCUACCUAGCCAUGCAAGUUUGCUAGGAAGGAGUAAGGUGUUUAGGCUCAUGGCAUAUGAAGAGGUAAUAUAUUUUCAGUGGUAGGCAGCGAGCAAUAUGACGUAGAAUCGAAACUAACAUAACAAGUCUAGAUAUGGGAUCAAGGUCAUGUCAUCUUGCCUGUGAUAUCCUCAGCUUGGAAUGGUUCUGGAUCGUCCUGCAAGUACUCUCCUGACUCCACGUAAUCGGUCUCCGCUCCCGGUGCUACCCAACACAGGAAUAACAGCCAAUGAACAGCAGCACCACAAAAUGCAACAAUCACAUGAUGCAUGAGAUGAAAGUUGAGCAUGCACCACUAUUUCUAACACUAGCACAAGCAAGAUAAACUACAACGAGUUCCUGGACAGAACUUUGCACUAAACUAUUUGUACAUGCAUGGAAAUGAUAUGGACAGAUGCAUCUCGUAAAAACGGUGCAAAACCAUAUAAAGAACUUUGCAAACGGAGCUACGGAUCAACGGGAAUCAACGAAACACGAUAUGAAGCCCUACGUGAAAGAUUCAUCCCCACAGACACAAUUGGCACAAAUCUGGUGUUCCCAGGUUGCCAAGACAUAUAUUAACCCAACAUGGAUGAAAUGGAGCAAGGUAGAACACCCCAACAACAAUUAAACACAAACUUUGAACAAAAUGUCAAAACUACGCAAUCUGCCAGUUUCUGCAUCUUAGCUGUUUGUGAGCCACAUGCAACAUAGCUACAGGUCUUCAAACAUGACAAAUAAUAUAUGUGGAUGUUGACAACCAAGAACACUACCAUCUCCAGCAAGAAUCACAGCAAAAGGAAUUAAAAUCUAGAAGUUACAAGGCCACAAACUUUCCCAGAACCAUCAGUUCUCAGGGACUUAGUGAAAAUUUCUGCACCUGAGUUUCUGUUUCUGUUCUGAAGCCUUUUGACAGCAAUCAAAACACAAGCUACUGGACUCCAAAUGACUUGAAAAUUGACAGAAAGCUGCACAAACAUACCAGGUUCAAAACACUAGCACUAAACUAAGUCCAGUUCUCAACAUACUGACCUGCACAACCUUAUCUACAGGGGAAGAAAAUGUUUUCAGCAUUCCAGACUUAGUGAAAUUUUCAGAGUUCAAAAUUCUGGAAUUUUUCCAGCCACAUGCCCACUUUGUCUAGGCAUAGUUUGCACAUACAAGUUCCCAAGAGGUGUUUGACACCACUAUGGUAUUGAACACAAACCCCUACAACUAACACACCAAGAUCCAUGCCUUUGGGCUCCAUCUAUACCAUGGAAACAAAGCCCAAACUUUCAACAAAAUGAAAAAUGCAAAUCCAAAAGGUAUACUUUUAAGAUGACAAUGCAUAGGAGGGUUUCAUGUGCACAAUGACAAAGUGACAUGGGGUUUUGAACCCCAUGUUUGUGUCAUGCACAUCAACAACUCCAACACACACACAAUUCCUCUCAAGCACUAGCAUCAAGCUCACACACAAGAAAUCUUUGUAUAACAAAAGGGUAUACCACCCCCCACACAUGGGCAUGUGAUGGUGCACACUCUCCCAAGCACCACUAGUAUCUUUCUAGUAUUCAUGUCACCAACAUUGUGCAAACUACCACAACAAACCACACCCUCACAUGCUAUCAUAAAUAGCUAUCUAGUGCUAUCCCUCACCUCAAGACAUGUGAUGAGGGGGAGGCACCCACACCCCACUAUGUCAAAGCAAGCUAACAAAACUACAAUAUCCCUUAGACCACACCAAGAUUCACAAGCUAGGGCUUUACAAGAAUAGCUAGGGCAACUAAUCACCUCCAAACACUACACCCAAAUUUAACAAGGCACCUAGCAACAUGCCCUAAUCAGGGUUGGCUCCCCAUCACCAAGGUACAACCACUAUAAGAAUCACCGGCUAGCAAAACUAUUUAACACCCCUAGCAUGUAAAACAUUCUCACACUAAAUCUAUACCACUAUUCUAGCAGGAACAGGAGCAAUCACCACUGCGUAGGAGUUUGUAAAAUAAAAAAAAACAACAGGGAACAAAACUGAUGAGACACAAGUGUAGGAGUUAGGAAAACAGGAAAUGAGUAGGCAGGAAAAAGAAAAGAAUGCAAAAAUAAAAAUAAAAAAAAGAAACAGGGCUGCUGGGGUUCGAACCCAGUUCCCUGGUUUCCAGCACCACACAACCACGCCACAGCGCUACGGUGCUACUUGUUGACAGGGGAAGGGAGAUAUGCAAGGUAAUCUGUCUGCACUGCCAUGACCCGAAAUAAACAAGGAAAACAACCAAAAAGGCGCCGAGGGGGGGACUCGAUCCCUAGACCUCUCAACAGGCGCAUGCAUGCGACCGAGAGACACUACCAUCAGGCUACGAACCGGCGUCUGACUAACACUAGAAGGUAAAACAGAAGAACACGCCUCUCACGAGAAGCAUCCCGCCGGCGGCCAGACCGGAGGACGCUGGCGGCGCCACUCCCGGCCACCACCGGCGGGGAAAACCGACGGCGGGGCCCGCAGGACUCUCGGGGAACCCAUUUUUGGUCUAAGCACGGGAGAAGGAGCACCCUUGGCUGCCUUGAACUGCAGCGGCGUUCCUGCAUCCUGCAGUUCGCCUGGGAGCACGGGACAGAGAGCUUGACGGGCAGCCCUGCCUGCGUCGCUACGCUGCACGGCCGGCGUGGAGCUCGUGCAUUCGGCGCUGAGGGACGCGAGGAGAAGACCCGCACCUGCUGGGUGCCCACCUACGCGGGGAGGAAACCUUGUGCAAACUGCAAGCUCUUCUCUGAUGAUAUACGCCUACCGAGACCUAGGUGACACGACCCCAGCUGCCGGCGGCGAGGAGAGCUCCUCUGAUCAUGGCGCUGCUGCAGAGAGGGGGAGGAAGCCCUCUCCUGCACGGUACCUCCAUAACAUACCUACCCCACCCUGCUCCACUCGCGACAACUGCACCCCCACACACAGCUAUCGGACAGAGAAAUGCACACACGCUGGAACGAGCCGGACCGCGGAGGCGGAAGGAAGGAGGACGAGGACGCGGCCUCACCUUGAGGAGAAGAGGGGCGUCGAACGGGGAGGAGGAGCGUCGGAGAGGAAGAAGACGGCCGGACGAAGUCGUCCCGCCGAAGACCGAAGAAGGAGACGGACGCGGAUCGCCCGGUUCGUCCCGUUGACGAGGACGAGCUCGACGGGGGGGGCCGCUCCUCGGGGUCCUAGCGCCGGGAAUGGGACGCGGGGACUCACCCCGAGCCCCCGGACAUGGCGCCCAGUGCCGGAGACGACGGAUCGGCGGCUUGACGGGGGAGGCGCUGCACCCUCUCUCUCUGCUCUCUCUC
rnacentral:lncRNA from 1 species